rnacentral:ncRNA from 1 species
GAUAACAGCGCAAUCCUAUUUGAGAGCCCAUAUAGAAAAUUAGGGUUUACGACCUCGAUGUUAGAUCAGGACACCCAAAUGGUGCAACCGCUAUUAAAGGUUCGUUUGUUCCACGAUUAAAGUCCUACGUGAUCUGAGUUCAGACCGGAGAAAUCCAGAUC